UAAUGCCGGAUGCUCCAGUUGAUCGCAUGGUCUUCUGGGAAAGCUUUCGCGGUAUGGGAUGGGGUCGCGUCCUAUCAGCUUGACGGCGGGGUAACGGCCCACCGUGGCUUCGACGGGUAGCCGGCCUGAGAGGGCGACCGGCCACAUUGGGACUGAGAUACGGCCCAGACUCCUACGGGAGGCAGCAGUGGGGAAUAUUGCACAAUGGGCGCAAGCCUGAUGCAGCGACGCCGCGUGAGGGAUGGAGGCCUUCGGGUUGUAAACCUCUUUUAUCGGGGAGCAAGCGAGAGUGAGUUUACCCGUUGAAUAAGCACCGGCUAACUACGUGCCAGCAGCCGCGGUAAUACGUAGGGUGCAAGCGUUAUCCGGAAUUAUUGGGCGUAAAGGGCUCGUAGGCGGUUCGUCGCGUCCGGUGUGAAAGUCCAUCGCUUAACGGUGGAUCCGCGCCGGGUACGGGCGGGCUUGAGUGCGGUAGGGGAGACUGGAAUUCCCGGUGUAACGGUGGAAUGUGUAGAUAUCGGAAAAAAACA
rnacentral:rRNA from 1 species